UACGGGGGGGGCAAACGUUGCUCGGAAUCACUGGGCGUAAAGGGCGUGUAGGCGGGUAGAUAAGUCGGGCGUGAAAUCCCUAGGCUCAACCUAGGAACUGCACUCGAAACUGUUUAUCUUGAGUGCCGGAGAGGAAAGCGGAAUUCCUGGUGUAGAGGUGAAAUUCGUAGAUAUCAGGAGGAACACCAGUGGCGAAGGCGGCUUUCUGGACGGUAACUGACGCUGAGACGCGAAAGCGUGGGGAGCAAACAGG
rnacentral:rRNA from 1 species